CUGGGAUUUAUAUUUCUGAGUACUGUUUGGUUUGGGUAUAAGCAAGAAUUAAUUAUUAUAGAGAUAGAUAUAAAUAUGAGGAUAAAAAAAAUAGUGUUUGGAUAAAAAUUAAGUUGUUCCUGGGGAUAAGAACAAUUUUAGAUAGUUUUAUAUAGAAAAUAAAGAUGUUGGUAGGGAUAACCGAGAACUACUAUUCUCGGAUAAAAAAUCAGCGUUUAUCUAGAUCUGUUUAGUACGAUACAAUGAUUCAAAAUAAGAUAUUGCAUAAUCGGGACUCAAACUAAACUAUUUUUUUGAGUUACAAACGUUUCUAUCCAAAUUGGACUCUAUUAUGGUUACAAACCAGUGCUCAAAUUAGUUCGAUUCAAUUCAUAAAAGUAAAUUAGCUUAAAAUCGAUUUUUGACUUAAAUUGGUGAACCAACGGGAUUUGAUGAAAAUCGAUCAGAUUUCUCUUAUUUUAUAUUUCAACAAUUUUAUUAGAAAUGUGCAUUAGUUUUAAGUAAUGUGUACUUUGAAUAUAUUUUUAAGUAUAUAUAAUAAAAUAAUAUCUAAAAAUAAUGUAGAAAUAUUGCACUUGGAAUAUACAAUUUUUAUUAUAUUUAAUAUUAAAUUAAUAAAUAAGUAUAUAUUGCUAGAUCGUGAACGGUUUUUGGUUUUAAAAUACAAAACUAAAC
rnacentral:lncRNA from 1 species